rnacentral:rRNA from 1 species
CCUACGGGAGGCAGCAGUGGGGAAUAUUGGACAAUGGGCGCAAGCCUGAUCCAGCAAUUCCGCGUGGGUGAAGAAGGUCUUCGGAUUGUAAAGCCCUUUCGACGGGGACGAUGAUGACGGUACCCGUAGAAGAAGCCCCGGCUAACUUCGUGCCAGCAGCCGCGGUAAUACGAAGGGGGCUAGCGUUGCUCGGAAUUACUGGGCGUAAAGGGCGCGUAGGCGGCUUAGUUAGUCAGGCGUGAAAUUCCUGGGCUCAACCUGGGGACUGCGCUUGAUACGGCUAGGCUAGAGGAUGGAAGAGGGUCGCGGAAUUCCCAGUGUAGAGGUGAAAUUCGUAGAUAUUGGGAAGAACACCGGUGGCGAAGGCGGCGACCUGGUCCAUUACUGACGCUGAGGCGCGACAGCGUGGGGAGCAAACAGGAUUAGAUACCCUGGUAGUCCACGCCGUAAACGAUGUGCGCUGGAUGUUGGGUGACCCUAGUCACUCAGUGUCGUAGCUACGCGGUAAGCGCACCGCCGUGGGAGGUACGGCCGCGAGGUUAGAACGUACGAAAGGAAAGUUAGACGG